rnacentral:tRNA from 1 species
GGAGAGAUGCCAGAGUAAAAAUGGGGUGGUCUGCAAAACCACGGCACUGUGCUAGUACACAGUCGGGGGUGUGAAUCCCCCUCUCUCCGCCA